AUGUGAUUGGCUAAGAGAAGACGUGCGCUGAGUGUGUGGGAGAGCGAGAGAGAGGAGAGUAAAGAGAGAGAGAGAGUGUGUGUGUGAGUGUGUAUGAGAAGGGGAGAGAGGACAUCACAGAAUUGGAGGUCACUUAAAGAGCAGAAAGGAAAAAAAUACGAUGCACCGACGAUGCUCACCAGAAGAGGGCGGCAGAUUCAAAUAUGACUGAUAAAUUUGACUCCAAACAAGGAUUCAUCUGUGGAAAAGGUCAAACAGUGGACUUUUUCAGUAACAAUGCUAACGCACAUAUCUGAAGGAGGUCUACACAUGCAGCAUGUUGGCUAUUCACCUAAAACUGAGCAAAUAUCCACAUUAAGAUACACUGGCUAAUGCUCUCCUGCUUACAUAGACUGAUUCAGUAUCAAAAUGUGGUCUCAGAUAGGAUUAGGUGUGAUUCUUUCCUUCCUCAUUUUGCUAACGGUGUGUGGAAAUGUGUUGGUGUGUCUGGCUGUUUGCGCAACCAGACGCCUGCGCAGCGUCACCAACUGCUUCAUCGUGUCACUUGCUAUUACUGACCUACUCCUUGGAGCUCUAGUCCUCCCUUUCUCCACUCUCAUUCAGGUAACUGGGGACUGGCCUCUGGGAGCUCACUUCUGCAAUGUGUACAUUUCAAUGGACGUCAUGCUGAGCACUGCUUCUAUUCUUAAUCUCCUGGCUAUUAGUAUAGACCGCUACAUUGCAGUCACGGUGCCUUUACGUUACCCUACACUGGUGCUCCCAUGGCAUGUUGGUACAUCAUUAGCAGUAAUCUGGCUGGUGUCCAUUGGUGUCUCGUUUGUUCCCAUUCACCUGGGCUGGAACACAGUGGACCAAACGGUGCAGAAUCAUGGUAAGGACGACCCUGCGGGAGACUGCCGCUUUGAGCUAAAUCCCACCUAUGUGCUAGUGGAUUCACUCGCAACAUUUUAUCUCCCCCUGGUGGCAAUGUGCUGGACUUAUUACCGAAUAUUCCGGAUUGCACGGGCCCAGGCCAAGAAAAUCCUUUCCGUACACAGAGCUUGCUCUUCAACCACCAUGUCUUCAUUAUCAGGAGUGUCAGUGUUGACGCUACGUGAGCACAAAGCUGCAGUGAGAUUAGCGUUUGUUCUGGGCGCUUUUGUGGUUUGCUGGUUCCCCUAUUUUACAUUUUUCACCAUUAUGGGAAUACGAAAGGAAACAGAUCCUCCACGCACGCCAUACUCAGUGGUGCUAUGGUUAGGCUAUGCUAACUCCACGCUAAACCCAUUCCUUUAUGCCGCACUCAACAGGGACUUUAGGUCUGCUUAUGGCAGGCUGUUGUUUGGCUGGAGGGGCGUUAACACACCAACAGGAACGCCUACUACUGUGCUAGAGUCGGGGCUGUUGAAUGGACUCACCCCUUCCAGCAGCAGGGCAGAGUUUAUACCUGGAUCCUGUGUCAUGCUGCAGGACAUGAGCAAAGCAAACGGGGACGGGAGCAACGGGACAUCUCUCAGCAUCGUCACUGUCCUGUCCAAUGGCCACAACAGGUAUUGGAGACACAAAACCAAUGGACAACAAUUUAAAUACACAAUACAAGGACCAUUUUAUAAUUGUAUUUAAUUUUGCUUAAUGAAUGCAUUAUUGAUUUCUUACUAAGGUUCAACCAUCAUUUCUCUAUCCAUGUUUAUUUCUCCCUGCCAGAGCUUAAUCUUUUGAACAAAUACAGAAGCCUGUCUCUCUUUCCAUAAAAAUAACCACAAUCUAAUCUUCAUCCCAGUUUCUAACGGCCCUCCAGUGUGAAGCAGUAGGGGUUGUCCGCCACAAUCUGAUGAAACAUUUGGUCCUCUGAGAGAUAUGAGGAGACAAAAGCUCUGAAGAAAGGACUGUGUAUUGAGUCUUACUAAAGCAGAUGAAAAAUGAUGAAAGAGGGGGGGCUACUUGAAAAAAAUGGUACUUGAAAAAAGUGCAUCUGACUGCAGACCGGCAAGGCCUGGCUGUUGGAGGCUACAAGAACAGAGACUGUAAGACGCUACAAGAAAGCGUUUCGUGCUGCUUGGUUAACCCUAGCUGGGCUAACCCUAGCCCUCUACAGGUCAGUGGAGGAACUACAACAAAAAAUGUGAAUACUGUAUAAAGACUGAAAAAUAAAAUUUUUUUGUCAACUAAUGCCAGUUUAAAUGAAAAAGCCGUAUAGAAUUUCAGGUGUAUCAUAUAUGUAUGUGUGUACAUAUAUAUACAAAUAUAUAAGAUAGUUCUGUUUAAAGAUAACAAGCUGUAAGACAGUGAAAUAGUAAAAUAAAUAAAUAAAUAAAAUUUCAAUCAAACCCAAAUUUGCCUUCGCCUUUUAAACUGCAUGUUUUUUUAGACACACUGCUGUGGUGUUUUCUGAGAAACAAAAAUGUGAAUACAAAAAAUAAAACUGUGCAUUAACAGUGUUACAGUUGAAUUACUGUACUAUGUAGAAUUAAUAAACAUCACCUUCUGUAGAAAAAAUAAAUACAUUCCAUUUAUUUUGUACAAACAUAUAGAGUACCGUGCAAAAAAUGUAAAACAACCAUUAAAAUAUUAAAUUAAAAGGAUCAGUGAACAAGUUUUUAUCAGAUUUUGUUUUUCUUUUAUAAGAAAGGUAAGUUUAUUUUUCCAUAGACUACAGCAGAUAUAAAUAGGUAGAGUGCCUAAAACCUUUGCAAGGUACUUUACAUUGUCAAAAUAUGUAUUUAAAAACGUUGUAUUGAAAUGCUUUUAUGUACUUUGUAUUUUAUAUUUUCAAAAUACUCACAUUAUUUGACUGUGUACGAUAUGUAAACUUAUCCUCAUUUAGGUUUGGUGGAUUUUAAAGCAGGCACUAAUUAAAAACUCUCUGUCCAUUUUCUGAAUGGUUCUCUUGCUUAUCUUCAGGAUGUUGCAAAAAAAUAAUAAGCAUUUAUCAGAAAUGCUAAAAAUUUCAAGAAUGUUCCUUUUUAUACUUGGCUAGUUGGAUGACUAGUUGGUUGCUUGCAAGCAAGGAACGUUGCGAUGAUGUUAAACUCUAGACAAAAGAUGCAUUUGAGCUAAUAUUUGAGUAAUAUUCCCGACAAAACUGUGUGAAUGAUUAAGACUAUAGAAUUUAUCAGGUCACCAGAAUGGUUUCUGAAGAAUAACUAUUAUUAGUGUUAGCUAUCAUAAAUCAGAAUGUUAGCAUUAUCGUAAACUAGACUGUUAGCCUUUUUAUAAACUAGAAUGUUAACAUUAUCAUUAGAGACUCAAGUGUCACCACUAAUCUUAUGCUAUUCUCACAAAAACAUAGUUUUGUGUUCAAAAGAAUUAUUUUUUCUCUUUUUUUGUUGACAGUCUUUUGUAGCUUUGUGGCACAUUUGCAUCUGAGGUGUUUGUGAAAUUCUCCUCAUGUUGACCAUAAAAUGACAACAAUUCUGAUACGUGGAAGAAUGUUCCCCGUGUUCUUUUAAAGCCCUUUGAUAGAAAAUCAUAAGGAUUUUCUGUGGAAGUUGUUCAGCUUUUGGAAGUUACAAAUCCAUUUUUUUUUCUCUCAGUAGCACAUUGACAUCUCCAUCCCAUUCCAUUAUAUCUGUUCAGGUUGUUUUUUUUCCUAUCUCUCUGCCUCACACCUCUCUCCCUUUCUCUCCAUCUCUCUCUCUCUGUGUG